AAGUAGCUGAAGUAUGAAUGGAACAAGGCGAGAAAAGCUUUACGGAAUAUGUUAGGCGCCCGUACCGCAAACCGACACAGGUAGUCAGGAAGAGAAUUCUAAGGCCAACGGGAGAAGGGUAGUUAAGGAACUCGGCAAAUUGACCCCGUAACUUCGGAAUAAGGGGUGCUCUCUACGGAGAGCCGCAGUGAAUAGGUCCAGGCGACUGUUUAUCAAAAACACAGGUCUCUGCUAAAUCGAAAGAUGACGUAUAGGGGCUGACACCUGCCCGGUGCUGGAAGGUUAAGAGGAGGAGUGAGAGCUCCGAAUUGAAGCCCCAGUAAACGGCGGCCGUAACUAUAACGGUCCUAAGGUAGCGAAAUUCCUUGUCGGGUAAGUUCCGACCCGCACGAAUGGUGUAACGAUCUGGACACUGUCUCAAUUACCCACCCGGCGAAAUUGUAGUACCGGUGAAGAUGCCGGUUACCCGCGGCAAGACGGAAAGACCCCAUGGAGCUUUACUGUAGCCUGAUAUUGGGUUUCGGUAUUUUAUGUACAGGAUAGGCGGGAGACAAAGAACCAUAGACGCCAGUUUAUGGGGAGUCGAUGUUGGGAUACCGCUCUUAAGGUACUGGAAUUCUAACCUGCGGCCGUGAAUCCGGUCGGGGGACAUUGUCAGGUGGGCAGUUUGACUGGGGCGGUCGCCUCCAAAAAGGUAACGGAGGCGCUCAAAGGUUGGCUCAGCAUGGACGGAAACCAUGCGUAAGAGUGCAAACGCAAAAGCCAGCCUAACUGCGAGGAUGACGGUCCGAGCAGUAACGAAAGUUGGAGUUAGUGAUCCGGCGGUAUGUGAAUGGAAAUGCCGUCGCUCAACGGAUAAAAGCUACCCUGGUAACAUGCUGAUCUCCCCCAAGAGUCCACAUCGACGGGGAGGUUUGGCACCUCGAUGUCGGCUCAUCACAUCCUGGGGCUGAAUUCGGUCCCAAGGGUUCGGCUGUUCGCCGAUUAAAGUGGUACGCGAGCUGUGUUCAGAACGUCGUGAGACAGUUCGGUCCCUAUCUGUCGUGGGCGCAGGAUAUUUGAGGAGAGCUGUCCUUAGUACGAGAGGACCGGGAUGGACGCACCGCUGGUGCACCAGUUGUCAUGCCAAUGGCACGGCUGGGCAGCUAAGUGCGGACGGGAUAAACGCUGAAAGCAUCUAAGCGUGAAGCCCCCUCCAAGAUAAGAUAUCCCACAGCUUAAGCUGGUAAGACCCCCCAUGGACUAUGAGGUUGAUAGGCUGCAGGUGUAAGAGUAGUGAUACUUUCAGCUGGGCAGUACUAAUAGGUCGAGGGCUUGACU
rnacentral:rRNA from 1 species